GACGAACGCUGGCGGCGUGCUUAACACAUGCAAGUCGAACGAAGUGGCGAACGGGUGAGUAAUACGUGGGUAACCUGCCCUCCUUUUUGGGAUAAGCCUUCGAAACGGGGUCUAAUACCGAAUAAAGGGGGAUGUGCUCGCGGCCUAUCAGGUUGUUGUUGGGGUGAUGGCCUACCAAGGCGGUGACGGGUAGCCGGCCUGAGAGGGUGACCGGUCACAUGGUGACUCGGAUCCGGCCCAGACUCCUACGGGAGGGAGCAGUGGGGGAAAUUGGACAAUGGGCGAAAGCCUGAUGCAGCGACGUCGCGUGGGGGAUGCAGGCUUUCGGGUUGUAAACCUCUGUCGCUAUCGAACCGGUAGGUGGAGAAGAAGCGCCGGCUAACUACGUGCCAGCAGCCGCGGUAAUAC
rnacentral:rRNA from 1 species